UUACGGCCACAUCACGUUGAAACACCUGUUCUCCUACGAUCGCCGAAGUUAAGCUACGUCGAACAUGGUCAGUACCUAGAUGAGUGACUGUUUGAAAAUUCCGGGGAUUG